rnacentral:rRNA from 1 species
CUACGGAGGGGGUUAGCGUUGUUCGGAAUUACUGGGCGUAAAGCGUACGUAGGCGGAUCGGAAAGUAAGGGGUGAAAUCCCAGGGCUCAACCCUGGAACUGCCUCUUAAACUCCCGGUCUUGAGUUCGCGAGAGGUGAGUGGAAUUCCUAGUGUAGAGGUGAAAUUCGUAGAUAUUAGGAGGAACACCAGUGGCGAAGGCGGCUCACUGGCUCGAUACUGACGCUGAGGUACGAAAGUGUGGGGAGCAAACAGAAUUAGAAACCCUAGUAGUCC